rnacentral:lncRNA from 1 species
CAGCUAUUCAGUUGCUUGCAUUUUCUGCUUUCUAUCUUUUCAAAUCAGUUUUGUCCAGAAUGAUAAGAAUGUAGAGAAACAUGAGAUGACCUUGAAAGGCUUUACAAAAAAUAAUAAUGACUAGAUUUUUUUAAACAUUUAUCUACCAUUCUUUAGUUUGCAACUGGAAUACCACUGUUUAAAUUUUACUUGUUUUCACUUUUGGUCAGGUACAACUUGAAGGAGUCAUUUGUUAAGUACUUACUAUGUGAUAGGAACUCUCACAUGGAUUGUCUUGCCAUUUUGACCUAAAUGCACUUUGAUUAUUUUUAAAUCUAUAUGCAAAGACUCCAUGUUUUACACAUUUCUAGAUUUAAUAAAGGAGAUAAAUUAUGUAUCAUAUUUUACCAUUGUCAUGGUUCGGAUAUGAGGUGUCCCCUAAAACCUCCCCCAAUGCAGGAAUAUUCAGCGAUGAAAUGAUUGGAUCUUGAAAGCUGUAACAUAAGUAGUCCAUUUUAGUUUGAUGAACUGUGUGCUAAUCCUAGGCCACUGGGGUGUGGUUGGAGGAGGUGGGCCACUGGAGGUGGGCCCUGGAAGGGUUCAUCUUCUCUGUGACUCCCUGUCUCUCUGCUUCCUGGCUGCCAUGAGGUGAGCAGCUUUCCUUAGCAGCUCUCUUAUGCCAUGAUAUUCUGUCUCACCUUGGGCCCAGAGCAUUGGAGCCAGUCAUCUAUGGACUGAGACUUCUGAAACCAUGAGCCCCCAAUAAACCUUUCUUCAUCUGCAUUGUUCUUGCCAGGUAUUUUGGUCACAGCAACCCAAAGCUGACUAAUACACCCAUCUUUUAGGAUCUGGCUUUUGGUUUUGGUCAUAAGCUAAAUAGAGCAGUAGAAAAGCAUGCAGUCAUACUUUGGGAUUUGAUCCUGAAUUCCAUCAUAAACAGGCUCAGUGAUUGACUGCAGACAAGCGUCCUGACUUCUCUGAGGCUUUUCUACUGGAAAAUGAAGAUCUUGGGCCAGAUGAGUGGUCUUCACUUUUGAAAGGUGACAAGGACCUUGCAGAAUCCAAUGAAAACUAGGAACCUUCUUCACUGAAAAAAAAAAAAUCACAUAUAUACUUACUUGAAAAAGAGAACAUUUAGUUUCCAGAAGACCACAGACUUCCCCUAAAUGAAGAAAUUGCUUAAGACUCUUCCAGCACCAACUCAAAAUUGCUGGGCCCCAUAAGGACCUGGCGAGUCUUGCACUGUUUAGAGUGGUCCCCUGAGGAAUGAG